rnacentral:rRNA from 1 species
CUUUCUUUGCUGGCGACCGACGCACGGGUGAGUAACACGUAUCCAACCUGCCCUUUACUCGGGGAUAGCCUUUCGAAAGAAAGAUUAAUACCCGAUAGCAUAAUGAUUCCGCAUGGUUUCAUUAUUAAAGGAUUCCGGUAAAGGAUGGGGAUGCGUUCCAUUAGGUUGUUGGUGAGGUAACGGCUCACCAAGCCUUCGAUGGAUAGGGGUUCUGAGAGGAAGGUCCCCCCACAUUGGAACUGAGACACGGUCCAAACUCCUACGGGAGGCAGCAUG